UACGUAGGGUGCAAGCGUUGUCCGGAAUUAUUGGGCGUAAAGAGCUUGUAGGCGGUCUGUCGCGUCUGCUGUGAAAAUCCGGGGCUCAACCCCGGACUUGCAGUGGGUACGGGCAGACUAGAGUGUGGUAGGGGAGACUGGAAUUCCUGGUGUAGCGGUGAAAUGCGUAGAUAUCGGGAGGAACACCAGUGGCGAAGGCGACUACCUGGCCUGUUCUUGACGCUGAGGCGCGAAAGCUAGGGGAGCAAACGGG
rnacentral:rRNA from 1 species